UACGAAGGGGGGCUAGCGUUGUUCGGAUUUACUGGGCGUAAAGCGCACGUAGGCGGACGUUAAGUCGGGGGUGAAAUCCUGGAGCUCAACUCCAGAACUGCCUUCGAUACUGGCGCUCUUGAGUCCGGAAGAGGUGAGUGGAACUCCUAGUGUAGAGGUGGAAUUCGUAGAUAUUAGGAAGAACACCAGUGGCGAAGGCGGCUCACUGGUCCGGUACUGACGCUGAGGUGCGAAAGCGUGGGGAGCAAACAGG
rnacentral:rRNA from 1 species